GUGGGGAAUCUUCCGCAAUGGACGAAAGUCUGACGGAGCAACGCCGCGUGAGUGAUGAAGGUCUUCGGAUUGUAAAGCUCUGUUAAUCGGGACGAAAGAGCCUAGUGUGAAUAAUGCUAGGAAGUGACGGUACCGGAAUAGAAAGCCACGGCUAACUACGUGCCAGCAGCCGCGGUAAUACGUAGGUGGCAAGCGUUGUCCGGAAUUAUUGGGCGUAAAGCGCGCGCAGGCGGAUCUGCCAGACUGUCUUAAAAGUUCGGGGCUUAACCCCGUGAUGGGAUGGAAACUACAGAUCUAGAGUAUCGGAGAGGAAAGUGGAAUUCCUAGUGUAGCGGUGAAAUGCGUAGAUAUUAGGAAGAACACCAGUGGCGAAGGCGACUUUCUGGACGAAAACUGACGCUGAGGCGCGAAAGCCAGGGGAGCGAACGGGAUUAGAAACCCCAGUAGUCC
rnacentral:rRNA from 1 species